AACCAUAGAAACCUGCGGAGUACCUGCGGAGGGAUCAUUACAAGUGACCCCGGUCUAACCACCGGGAUGUUCAUAACCCUUUGUUGUCCGACUCUGUUGCCUCCGGGGCGACCCUGCCUUCGGGCGGGGGCUCCGGGUGGACACUUCAAACUCUUGCGUAACUUUGCAGUCUGAGUAAACUUAAUUAAUAAAUUAAAACUUUUAACAAUGGAUCU
rnacentral:misc_RNA from 1 species